rnacentral:sRNA from 1 species
GCUGGGUGCGGUGGCACACGCCUGUAAUCCCAGCAGCUCAGGAGACUGAGGCAGGAGAAUCUCGAGUUCAAAGCCAGCCUUAGCAACAGUGAGGCACUGAGAAACUUGGUGAGACCUUGUCUCUA